GUUUAAAGCGCUUUGCCACAUCCCCUAACACAAGGUUCAGUUUCAUUUCAUGAGGGUCAUCAGUAUUUGGUCAACAACAGGAAUACUACAUGAUGGUUUCUAAAUGGCAACAUCGUUUUCACCAAAGUAAAAAAAUAUAAUAGACGCAGUCCUGUGUACAGCAGCGAGGUAUCAUCAUCCAGGAGCAUAUCAUCAGCCACAGUCUGACCCUCAGUCUGCGUCGAUUUGUUCACGUGGUCCAACUUUGCCGCGUAGCUGUGGUCAGUUUUUGUUAGGUCCUCCCAUUGUGUUGCAGCAUCUUUAAACUUCGGCUCGAUGCACACUUCUAAAAGACAAACAGCAUCAACUAUAAAUGUAUAUACCCUACUAACACAGGACAGAGACACAUAACGUUAUAUCAACAGUCGAACUUAUGCUGCAAACUUUAGCUCCGAUCCGAGUUGCGUGUCACUUGUGUUUCUGUCGAGUUUACGUCUCUUUUGCUGGGGAGGUCGCUCGUAUCCCAACCAAAGUUCCGGGAAAGGGUUUUCCUCUGUGGGCUUUUUAUCAAGUGAUAAGAACAAACAAACAGUCUUUUGGGCGGAUUCUUCAACUUCAAAGCCGCUAGCCACUUCCGAGAUUCAACAUCUGUUUUUGGUUUCUCAUACAACGCAUACGGGGGAGCACAUCCACAUUGGCGCCUUGUAGAUGGUCGAUGGUCGAAACAUUCUCCUUCCGACCAAACAUUCAGCAAUCGCCACGAGUUGUUGCAACCGUGAACAGCACAAUAUGUCCCGGAGCCGUGUCGGCGUGUAACACCAUCCAUAGUUUACUUUUUCUGCACCUUCUGAAAACACUUCUUUCUCUAGGAAGGCAGACAGCAAAAUCCAUGUGCGUCGAUGUGAGAACGGCGGACCGUUUCUGCUCUCUGGUCCAUGAUCUGAAGCAGUUACGAGGCCAGCUGGACGCAUGAUGACCUGCUCCCAAGGGUGCCAGAGGUCUACAAAGCUGCAGACACUAAAGACAUUUUGAACUGCCUCAAGAAAGAUGUAUAAAGUUGCUCAUUAUUUGUAAAUUGAAGUCCAUUUUACAUUUACUUGUAAGGUUUUUCUGUCUGAACAUUUUGUGAAUAUUCUGUUUAACUCCACUAAAUAUUUUGUUUAAAUACAGUAUAGAAGUUGUUAGAUAUCUGCAUGUUAUAAUGUGAAAACUAUUUAUUUUAAUGUGAGAAAUAAAUAUGAUUUUUACAACAACUCGUGGUGUUUCUCAUAACUAUAAUUUGUCAUUUAAAACAAUGGAUACUUUUAAGUUAAGUUAACUAGGAAAGUAAUUUUAACUAAAAUAAGCUAGUUGAAAUAAUUAGACCUAGUUAACACAAAGCAUGAUAAUAAGUUCUACAUCGUUUAUACUUGUGUUGCUAAGUUGAAAGUACUGCUUUGGACAAGUGAACACAAUGCAUGAUAAUAAGUUAAGUUUCUUUUAAACAUACGUUGCUAAGUUGAAUAAACAUGUACUAUACAGUCAUGUGGACUUAGAAAGCAGUCCAGAGCUGAGUUAAACACAUUAUGAAGUGCACCAAAUUGUAAAUCCAAUUUGAUUCUACUCAAAAGUGCAAGGAAGCUUUUGAACUUAUGUUUUUAAGUUGAAACCCCUUGAAUUGUUUUACAGUGAUGCAGAUGUAUUUUCAUUCAUCCAUGUACACAGCAAUACACAUUAAUAUCGGUUCACUGUUUGACGCAAUAUAGUUGAUGAUGUAGGUAAUAAUAUAGCUAAAAAUAUAGUUCAAUCAAAGUGGUUUAUCGUCAUACACUCAUUGCUCUUGGCUCUGAUAUUUAUUUAUUUUCUGCUUGAGUGAGCGCAGACAGUCCAAUGAGAGGCAGAGUAAACGUGUUCACAUCUCCACCAGUUGGUGGCAGAAUAUGUGUAUUAUAUUAAACUGUUUAUUUUAUUUAAUGCAGUUUAUUGUAUGUUAUUUUUAUGGUUCAUUUGCAACCAUUGUUGAAUACAUCUUGUUAUAUUUAUUUCAUGGAAGAAGGAGCAUGUGUUUAUUAAGCAAUAAGUAAUGACAGUUUAUAAAUAGAGACGUUUGGUUUUAUUAAUUCUGGUUGAUUUGUCACACUUCCAUCCAAAAUCAAAGGGCCAAAGGGCCCUGGUGAUAAGAAAUAAUGUCGCUCAAAUGCUGCGGUAUAAGGAAAAUGACUGACUUUAUGGUAUUCAGACAUUUUGACUGUAGAAUAUUUUAUAUUUUUCUCACUAGACAAGAACAAUAAAGAAAUGAAUUCAUUCUCUUUUCGUCAUUGCCUCCAUGUUUGCUUUCAUGUGACCCUUAGAGUGACCUCUGGAGCUGUGGAUGGAUCCCACCGUCAGGUCACCAAAGUCACAGGUCACAUUUAUCCUGAGGACACUGGAGGCGUCACAUGGUAUCUCUGGAGGUGGACAGAAUCUGUCCACAGGACAACUAGUAACCGUGUACUCCAUAAAUCUGGCCUUGAUAGAAGAGUGGCAAGAAAAAAGCCGUUGGGAGUUUUCCACAAGCCAUGUGAGACACUGAUCACAACAUGCCAACAGGGAAACAUGCUGGUCAUGGCAUCAUUUCACAUUCUAUAUAUUGACCUAUUUACAAGUAGAAUGAAGAGAUAAAUAUAACAAGUUUUUGUAACACCAAUCAGGCAUUUGAGUGCAUCUCGAAAAAUUGUGGCAAUUUAUUGACGGCACUGUCCAGCAGUACAAUAACAUCUGUAAAGCACAUUCCAUCUCUGCAGCUUCCUGAUCCCGAGCACUUUGUUGGUGCCAAAGUGUGACACUUGUGUUGGUGAGUCCGCCUCUUCAUUUUGCAGAUACUGGUGCAUCUGGCUUCGCCGUCCCGGUACCUGGGGAGACUCUUCCUUAUAAUAAGAAUUGAAUGUUUAACAAUCAUUUUCUCUUGGAAAUAAAAUGUCUCUGUGCAAUCGAGAAGCUGCCCUAAAAUCUGGCUUUGAGGUGGAACUAACAUGGACACAAUCAGUGAUAACUUAAGGCAAAUCUGACGGCAAUAAAACUGAAGUAAUUGUCUAUUCGCAGACGUUGAAAAGACGUCUAUGUUUAGACCACAUUUCAACGUGAUUUUCUUCAUACGGUAAUAUUUCGUCCUCUCUUGUGUGCUAUAUCAUUAUUUUAGAGUUACAACGUGACACAUUUAUCUACAAAUUGACGUUUUCUGGCACGUUGAUGUUUCAUCCCGGUUGAAAAGACCUCAUUUCAACCCGAUUUCAACCAUAUUUCAACGUUAAAACUACGUCUUGUGCUCACUGGGAAGAACAAGCAGCUUGUCUUCCACACUUGAAAGUCGUCUAUUACAGCAACGGGAUUAUUCGCAAUAUUUCCCAGCUCACCUUAAUCUUAACCCGAACAAAAGUGUGAUGAGGAACGUUUGUCGCAGGUUACAAUAACAGCACGUGUGUGUGUUCUCUCCUCAAUGCUUCCCCCCCACGUUGUUAUUAUAUAUGUAUUCAGCUCAGACUUUGUCCCUGCAGUAUUAGUACACUUGUUUUAUUGAGCAAUAGCUGGUAACAAUGCAAAGUUAAUAGAUAAAGGUCCUUCUGUCACUCCAACUUGUGUUGGUAGAAUGAAUGCAAAAUGUAUGGGAAAUAAUGUAGAUGUCCGCAAACCGUUUACCCGCUGCUGCCCCUUCAUUUGUUUCCGUGCGCGCGCGUAAAGAAGGACCGCCUACUGUGGUGACGUCAUCCAGUCAGCCGCUGUGUAUUGCCGCGUGGACCUCUGUGCGUUAGUCGCUGAAUAGUUCUGCUCCUGUCCGUGUGAACAUGCACAAAGUCAAUCACCGGCGACCGGGGACUUCAAGCUUCGAUAGCGAUGUCCACAUCGCAGUCUUUCACCGCCGAGAAGUAUCUUAGAAACGACGAUAAUCGCUCAGUCAGGAUAUCAGCUGUCAGUCGCUCGGCCGUCACCUAGCAACCGUUGCUAUGGCACCACACACGUAAUCGGUGACACGUCUUUGCGUUGAUGUGUGAGACCAGUUAUAGAUCAGAUCAUUUUGGAUUUGAAGGCAUUGGAAGCAGCCAUGGAUUUGCUCAUUUGCUGCUGUAUGAUCCUCCCUAAAUCGGAAGAGAUACAUGACGUAUGCUUCAGCAUAUUCCCAAUGAUCGAGAGCUUUUUCUACAGGUUGGGAGAGAAUCAGUGGAACAACCUGGAGAAAUGCAUCCCAGAUGUCGCCAUUGAAGUUAUGUUGGCAGAACUGCUUAUGGAUAUAAUAACAGAGUUAUCCAAAGCAUGCCUAAACUGUUUAGUGAGCACUGGCAAUUUGAAGCCAUACACUGAAAGUCAAUUUAUAGAUGGGAUAUUGACUCAAAGUUUCAAAAAUAUUAUGCAAAUUAAAGACAAAGUCGAGUGUGCAAGCUCAAAAUCCUUGAAUGACAUGAUACUUAGAGAGGUUUUAGGAAAUGCCAGGAGAUUUUACAAAAUCAAGAAACGUACUUUUCACCUAGAGCACGUCAUUCCCCUUGAACAACUCAAAGUAAUGGUUUCUCAUGCCUUAAUAAUGUUGUGGGAAUUUACUCCAAUGAUGAAAAAGCCGUCCAUAUUUCGAGUACAAAGACAGAAAAUUACUUUGACCAAAAAGCUGGUGCCUGUCGACCAAGAUGGUGUUGAGGAAUCAAAGGCUCCGAACAAUGUCACGUCAGAAAGAGUUCAAUCAUUAAUUCUGAGGGAAGUGAACGAGACAACGGAUCCUUUCCUGCAUGACACGUCAAAAAGACGUUACUUCGGCUUAAUCAGUACACAGAUUCCAUGGGACGUUAGUGAAAAAGUAUUUGAUAUGUUGGGGGCAGAUAUGUUUCAACGUGCCACUCUCGGGAAAAUUUAUAUCGGGUGCUUCGUUGAAAAACUGCUGAAUCACAUACUUGAUCGAAUUCAGAAAAUAUUCCUGAAGGACGAAGAAUACUCCCCCAUAUUGAUGGGUGAUAUACAACCCUUGGUGUCAGACCUGGUGAAGUGGGCUAACAACGAACAAAAUCACGACAAUGUUUUGGAAACCUUUGCAAUCGCAACACGUCUGAAGGAUGACCUUUUCAAAAGAAUUCAGAUGACACACCAGGGUGUUACCAAGAAUGAAUUGAUGAAUGAAGAGAUUUUUGAAAAAGUAUAUAUCUUCAUGAACUUGUUCAAUUUAUAUAACUGUCAGGUUCUCAGGAUGGUUGAAAAUAUUCGACCGGCUGUAGAGAUAAUUUCAACUACGAGUAAAGUUGAGGUCACAAAGUCACAAAGUUCAAAUGUUCCGUUCAAAGAGUUUUCUUCACCACAGUUGCUGGUCGACCACCAGAUCGACGUUCCUCCAAAUUCUCCUGAAGAACCUUCACAGGACAACACAGGGCAGGAAAGAAAAAAACGUUGUGUUAGGCCGGUCAUAGAGGACCUAGUUUGGGAGUUAGCAGAGAACUUCAAUAUUGAAAGUUGCACCAGGCAACUCGAGGUCAUCAUUCAGCGUCUGGUUGAAAAGAUUUUGUCCAAACUCAAGGAUGUGGACUUUAACCUCAAACCAAAAUCCUUUAAGAACUUGCACAAGAAGAUGUACAAUGAGCUGUACAAGAUGAAGGGCGGUAGAGCAGAUUUGCUGGUCUGCUUGAUAUUGGGGGACGAGGAAGUUGAAGAUUGCAUCGUCUCCAUCAUCAUAAAUAACGUGGAGCAGAGAAACGGUAUCUGCAAGAUCCUCAGCCGCGUGGGCCGAGCCUUCAUCAACAUCUUUAGGAGAAACAACAGUAUACAUCCAAUGCCUGACAAAGCCCGAGACAGUCGUGGAACAGUCCGAGACAGCCAUGAGACAUCGGUGGAACAGUCCGAGACAGUUAUGGGACAGUCGUGAGACAGUCGGUGAGACAGUCUGAGACAGCCAUGAGACUGUCGUAGGACAGUCGUGAGACAGUCAUGAGACAAUCGUGAGAAGUCUGUAAGACGGUCGGUGAGACAGUCUUACAGACGUAAGACAGUCGGUGGGACAGUGUGUGAGACAGUCGGUGGAACAGUCUGAGACAGCCAUGAGACUGUCGUAGGACGGUGAGACAGUCUUACGCCUGCCGCCUGGCAGAUGAGCUGAACGAGAUCUACUGCAGAUUCAAUAGACAAUGUCCUGAUCCCAUCCCCACAGCUCCACCAACCUGCCCCAGUCCCCCAUGUUACGGUCCGGCUCAAAGGCCACAACAAAUAGAGGAAACCACGCUCCAGGGAUUACCAGCCAAAGAUGUUUAUUCACCAAACUGAUUAAACAAACAAAACACAGCAAAGGGAAACGCCAUUGUGCUGGGGACCAGGAGAAAACCAGCAGUCACCCCCAAACACUCAGAAAGGGGCAGGUUUUAAUGCACUCAAGAGACAGCGGCCAGCUGCGUCUGAUCUGCCUUAUGGCCUCAGCUCCACCAGGAAGUUCACCCGGUAACACACACAGACAGAGACACACCCACAAAUACCCUGGCAGUGGGCGUCACACCCACCCCUCCCUCCCCCAGCCCAUCAGGGGCUCACGCCUCUGUAUCACCUUCCCCUUCCCCACGUACCAGCCUGCUUCAAGGCCUCCACCAUCAUCCCUGUUCCCAAGAAGCCCAGGAUCACAGGACUCAAUGACUACAGGCCCGUCGCCCUGACCUCUGUAGUCAUGAAGUCUUUUGAACGGCUAGUCCUGUCCCACCUGAAGUCCCUCACCGACCCCCUCCUGGGCCCCCUGCAGUUCGCCUACAGAGCCAACAGGUCUGUGGACGAUGCUGUCAACAUGGCCCUCCACUACAUCCUCCAGCAUCUGGACUCCCCAGGAACCUACACCAGGAUCCUGUUUGUGGACUUCAGCUCUGCCUUC
ensembl:lncRNA